GGGGGUAUAGCUCAGUUGGGAGAGCGACAGGUUCGCAAUCUGUAGGUAGGGAGUUCGAUCCUCCUUGCCUCCACCA
rnacentral:tRNA from 1 species